AGCAAGCUUGCUGCUUCGCUGACGAGUGGCGGACGGGUGAGUAAUGUCUGGGAAACUGCCUGAUGGAGGGGGAUAACUACUGGAAACGGUAGCUAAUACCGCAUAACGUCGCAAGACCAAAGAGGGGGACCUUCGGGCCUCUUGCCAUCGGAUGUGCCCAGAUGGGAUUAGCUAGUAGGUGGGGUAACGGCUCACCUAGGCGACGAUCCCUAGCUGGUCUGAGAGGAUGACCAGCCACACUGGAACUGAGACACGGUCCAGACUCCUACGGGAGGCAGCAGUGGGGAAUAUUGCACAAUGGGCGCAAGCCUGAUGCAGCCAUGCCGCGUGUAUGAAGAAGGCCUUCGGGUUGUAAAGUACUUUCAGCGGGGAGGAAGGGAGUAAAGUUAAUACCUUUGCUCAUUGACGUUACCCGCAGAAGAAGCACCGGCUAACUCCGUGCCAGCAGCCGCGGUAAUACGGAGGGUGCAAGCGUUAAUCGGAAUUACUGGGCGUAAAGCGCACGCAGGCGGUUUGUUAAGUCAGAUGUGAAAUCCCCGGGCUCAACCUGGGAACUGCAUCUGAUACUGGCAAGCUUGAGUCUCGUAAGGGGGGGUAGAAUUCCAGGUGUAGCGGUGAAUGCGUAGAGAUCUGGAGGAAUACCGGUGGCGAA
rnacentral:rRNA from 1 species